rnacentral:rRNA from 14 species
UUGCCCUAGUAACGGCGAGUGAAGCGGCAACAGCUCAAAUUUGAAAGCUAGCCUUCGGGUUCGCAUUGUAAUUUGUAGAGGAUGAUUUGGGGAAGCCGCCUGUCUAAGUUCCUUGGAACAGGACGUCAUAGAGGGUGAGAAUCCCGUAUGUGACAGGAAAUGGCACCCUAUGUAAAUCUCCUUCGACGAGUCGAGUUGUUUGGGAAUGCAGCUCAAAAUGGGAGGUAAAUUUCUUCUAAAGCUAAAUACUGGCCAGAGACCGAUAGCGCACAAGUAGAGUGAUCGAAAGAUGAAAAGCACUUUGGAAAGAGAGUUAAAAGUACGUGAAAUUGUCGAAAGGGAAGCACUUGAAGUCAGCCAUGCUGC